rnacentral:rRNA from 1 species
AACGAACGCUGACGGCAUGCCUAACACAUGCAAGUCGAACGAGACCUUCGGGUCUAGUGGCGCACGGGUGCGUAACGCGUGGGAACCUGCCCUUAGGUUCGGAAUAACUCCCCGAAAGGGGUGCUAAUACCGGAUAAUGUCUUCGGACCAAAGAUUUAUCGCCUUUGGAUGGGCCCGCGUUGGAUUAGCUAGUUGGUAGGGUAAAAGCCUACCAAGGCGACGAUCCAUAGCUGGUCUGAGAGGAUGAUCAGCCACACUGGGACUGAGACACGGCCCAGACUCCUACGGGAGGCAGCAGUGGGGAAUAUUGGACAAUGGGCGAAAGCCUGAUCCAGCAAUGCCGCGUGAGUGAUGAAGGCCUUAGGGUUGUAAAGCUCUUUUACCCGGGAUGAUAGUGACAGUACCGGGAGAAUAAGCGCCGGCUAACUCCGUG